AAGCUGAGUAUAUGAAUUCCUUGAAGGUCAAGGAAGGUGAAGGAUCAUGUAGUUCUAAAAAUUAGGAAUGGAGCAAGUGUUGCUACGGUUGUCAUAAGAACUGUGUAUGUUAUUUUGUCUACGGGAUGUAACUUGAUAUUAGAGGAUUGCUUAUAUGUACCUAAUGCAUACAAAAACAUCAUUUCACUUUCUGCUUUAGUAGUUAAGAAUUAUGAAUUCAA
rnacentral:lncRNA from 1 species